GUGAGUAUAGCUCAGUGGUAGAGCACAUGCUGAGGUCCUGGGUUCUAUCCCCAGUACCUCCA
rnacentral:tRNA from 1 species